rnacentral:sRNA from 1 species
UAAUACGAUGGGCUAUCUGGUGACGGC